UCCCUAGUAGCUCAGAUGGUAAAGCAUCUGCCUACAAUGCAGGAAACCUGGGUUCAAUCCCUGGAUCAGGAA
rnacentral:tRNA from 1 species